CAGCAUGUUGCCAAGGGCUGUGGAUGGUUGUGGCCGUGGAUUCUCCAAAUACUUGUGAGCAACAUGGAGAGACUUUGAGAGCACCGAACCCACAGGUGCCGCUCGCUUUUCCAAUGUUU
ensembl:snoRNA